rnacentral:lncRNA from 1 species
UGGGUAUCCACUCAAGAUCAGUUUGGAACAGCCCUCUUAAAAUUGAUUUUUCUUCUUCAAAAAAAAUUAACUUGCGAAUUUGAUCGAAGCCUGGAUCGCGAUCAACUCUUUGAUCUUUUUCUUGAUCUUUUUCUUCUCUUCUUCUCUUACUUUUUCUUUCCCAAAUUAUGAAGCAACUAAGGACUAGAAACCAGCAAUCAAGAAGAAUGCCCAAACCCCUUUUGGGAAUGA